rnacentral:rRNA from 1 species
CUGCUGCCUCCCGUAGGAGUCUGGGCCGUGUCUCAGUCCCAGUGUGGGGGGCCUUCCUCUCAGAACCCCUACGCAUCGUCGCCUUGGUGGGCCGUUACCCCGCCAACUAGCUAAUGCGACGCAUGACCAUCCGUAGCCGGAAUCGCUUCCUUUAAACCCGAGGAGAUGCCUCCUCGGGUUGUUACGCGGUAUUAGACGGAAUUUCUUCCGCUUAUCCCCCUGCUACGGGCAGGUUUCAUACGUGUUACUCACCCGUGCGCCGGUCGCCGGCGGGAG